AUGAGGGACCCUUCUCAGCUCCUGGGGCUUCUCCUGCUCUGCUUUUCAGGUGUGAGAUGUGACAUCCUAAUGACUCAGUCUCCAUCCUUGCUGUCUGCAUCUCUGGGAGAUAGAGUCACCAUGACUUGCAAGGCCAGUCAAAGAAUUGGUAAUAUGUUAGCUUGGUAUCAGCGGAAACCAGAGGAAGCUCCAAAAUGCCUGAUCUACAAUACAUCUGCUCUGGAAAAUCAGAUCCCAUCAAGGUUCAGUGGCAGUGAAUUUGGUACAAAUUAUACACUCACAAUUAACAACCUGGAGUCUGAGGACAUUGCCACUUACUACUGUCAACAGGGUUAUUGUACCACUCCCAGGGAAGCAUAA